UACGUAGGGGGCAAGCGUUGUCCGGAUUUAUUGGGCGUAAAGAGCGUAUAGGCGGCCAGGUAGGUCAGCUGUGAAAACUCGAGGCUCAACCUCGAGACGCCGGUUGAAACCAUCUGGCUAGAGUCCGGAAGAGGAGAGUGGAAUUCCUGGUGUAGCGGUGAAAUGCGCAGAUAUCAGGAAGAACACCCGUGGCUAAGGCGGCUCUCUAGUACGGUACUGACGCUGAGACGCGAAAGCGUGGGGAGCGAACAGG
rnacentral:rRNA from 1 species